GAUGAACGCUGGCGGCGUGCCUAAUACAUGCAAGUCGAGCGAACGGACGAGAAGCUUGCUUCUCUGAUGUUAGCGGCGGACGGGUGAGUAACACGUGGAUAACCUACCUAUAGGACUGGGAUAACUUCGGGAAACCGGAGCUAAUACCGGAUAAUAUUUUGAACCGCAUGGUUCAAAAGUGAAAGACGGUCUUGCUGUCACUUAUAGAUGGAUCCGCGCUGCAUUAGCUAGUUGGUAAGGUAACGGCUUACCAAGGCAACGAUGCAUAGCCGACCUGAGGGGGUGAUCGGCCACACUGGAACUGAGACACGGUCCAGACUCCUACGGGAGGCAGCAGUAGGGAAUCUUCCGCAAUGGGCGAAAGCCUGACGGAGCAACGCCGCGUGAGUGAUGAAGGUCUUCGGAUCGUAAAACUCUGUUAUUAGGGAAGAACAUAUGUGUAAGUAACUGUGCACAUCUUGACGGUACCUAAUCAGAAAGCCACGGCUAACUACGUG
rnacentral:rRNA from 1 species